GUUCAAGAAAAGUUCAAAUAACCCACUCACAGUUGCACAGCUACCUGGAGAGCUGGGAUAGAUCUAUAAAGCUGCAACUCCUGUGCACACAGACAUAUGAAGCCACUUUCACCCUCUGGAAACCUUCAGGCCCUGGUGAGUGAAAGUUCGUGAUGCUGAAGCCCAGAAUAACCCUCAUUUGUUCAUGAACCCUAUGGACGACAACAGGAGUGACUGGAGAAGGCUGCCUGACAUCCAUAGAACAGAUCAUCAAAAUCCUUCUUUACUGAGUCAUCCUUUGAGAAAAUGCACCUCUUAUGGCCUGCACCCAGGGAUCACUCCCGCCACCCCACACUUGUUUUGCCACUACAUAGAAGGCCUGGCUUCUAUAAUGUGUACCCUGAUUGGUCUCUCCUCCUGAUGGC